rnacentral:lncRNA from 1 species
UGACUUUGGUGUUAUAGUACUGAGCUAUCUUUUGUCGAUACGUGGCCAUGCGAAGUUGAGCUUCACGUUGGAGUUCUGGUAGGAGAUCCAAAUCGACUCUCUGACACUCGAAGUUGUUCGAUUCAUUGUAUUGCUCAACUCUUAUCAUGGUAACCCGAUCUCGAGUGGGAUCAUCGCUUCCAUCUCAUAGGCUAAGUUGAAAGGAGACUCUCCAGUCGGUAUAUGGAGAGUUGUCUGAUACACCCAUAAGACUGGAUAUAGCUCUUCGACCCAAAGAUGCUUAGCCUCAUUCAGUCAGAUCUUUAGCCCAUGCA